rnacentral:rRNA from 1 species
GGGUUGUGAGGUUAAGCGACUAAGCGUACACGGUGGAUGCCCUGGCAGUCAGAGGCGAUGAAGGGCGUGCUAAUCUGCGAUAAGCGCCGGUAAGGUGAUAUGAACCGUUAUAACCGGCGAUACCCGAAUGGGGAAACCCAGUGUGACUCGUCACACUAUCAUUAACUGAAUCCAUAGGUUAAUGAGGCGAACCGGGGGAACUGAAACAUCUAAGUACCCCGAGGAAAAGAAAUCAACCGAGAUUCCCCCAGUAGCGGCGAGCGAACGGGGAGGAGCCCAGAGCCUGAAUCAGCAUGUGUGUUAGUGGAAGCGUCUGGAAAGGCGCGCGAUACAGGGUGACAGCCCCGUACACAAAAGCGCAUGUGCUGUGAGCUCGAUGAGUAGGGCGGGACACGUGGUAUCCUGUCUGAAUAUGGGGGGACCAUCCUCCAAGGCUAAAUACUCCUGACUGACCGAUAGUGAACCAGUACCGUGAGGGAAAGGCGAAAAGAACCCCGGCGAGGGGAGUGAAAAAGAACCUGAAACCGUGUACGUACAAGCAGUGGGAGCCCCACCACCAAAGCAUUCUCUGGUGUUGAAGGCCCUGCAAAGCAGCAUCGCGGUGGCGGAGCGUCGUUUGCGACGCCCAACACACAAAACAAGCGGUGAGUGCUUUGGGGUGGGGUGACUGCGUACCUUUUGUAUAAUGGGUCAGCGACUUAUAUUCUGUAGCAAGGUUAACCGUAUAGGGGAGCCGAAGGGAAACCGAGUCUUAACUGGGCGUUAAGUUGCAGGGUAUAGACCCGAAACCCGGUGAUCUAGCCAUGGGCAGGUUGAAGGUUGGGUAACACUAACUGGAGGACCGAACCGACUAAUGUUGAAAAAUUAGCGGAUGACUUGUGGCUGGGGGUGAAAGGCCAAUCAAACCGGGAGAUAGCUGGUUCUCCCCGAAAGCUAUUUAGGUAGCGCCUCGUGAACUCAUCUUCGGGGGUAGAGCACUGUUUCGGCUAGGGGGUCAUCCCGACUUACCAACCCGAUGCAAACUGCGAAUACCGAAGAAUGUUAUCACGGGAGACACACGGCGGGUGCUAACGUCCGUCGUGAAGAGGGAAACAACCCAGACCGCCAGCUAAGGUCCCAAAGUCACAGUUAAGUGGGAAACGAUGUGGGAAGGCUCAGACAGCCAGGAUGUUGGCUUAGAAGCAGCCAUCAUUUAAAGAAAGCGUAAUAGCUCACUGGUCGAGUCGGCCUGCGCGGAAGAUGUAACGGGGCUAAACUGUGCACCGAAGCUGCGGCAGCGACGCUUAUGCGUUGUUGGGUAGGGGAGCGUUCUGUAAGCCUGCGAAGGUGUCCUGUGAGGGAUGCUGGAGGUAUCAGAAGUGCGAAUGCUGACAUAAGUAACGAUAA